rnacentral:rRNA from 1 species
AGAGGGUGCGAGCGUUAAUCGGAAUUACUGGGCGUAAAGGGCGCGUAGGUGGAUAUAUAAGUUGGCUGUGAAAGACCUGGGGCUUAACCUAGGGGAGUCAGCCGAUACUGUAUAGCUAGAGGACAGGAGAGGGUAGAAGAAUUUCCGGAGUAGCGGUGAAAUGCGUAGAUAUCGGAAGGAAUACCAGUGGCGAAGGCGACUACCUGGCCUGUAACUGACACUGAGGCGCGAAAGCGUGGGUAGCGAACAGGAUUAGAUACCCUGGUAGUCCACGCUGUAAACGAUGACAACUAGCUGUUUGAGAUGUAAAUUUUGAGUGGCGUAGCUAACGCGCUAAGUUGUCCGCCUGGGGAGUACGGCCGCAAGGCUA